CUAAGUGCACUCUAUAGUUAAGAAAAAUCGUGACUCAGAAAGGUUCACGAUUAGCCCAAAGAAACCCAGUGGAGAGGCCCGUUUCGGGAAAUCUCACGAAGUCUUCGCGGCCCGUUUCAUAGAACUGGGGACUAGACGUCAUCAUACACUUCCAAUAGCAACUGAUAAGCCCAAAAGACACAACGGUUACCCAGUUUUCCUGGGAAAUUUUGUGGAUUCCGGGAUCCGCAGAGCGGACAGACAGGAGCGUGCAAUUCACUAGUCGACCAGCCAGGAUAACCCCACCACAUCAGAGCAGGAGGAGGAACGCAGCUGCAGACAAGCCGGCUCCACUUCCGGCCGCCCCGCCCCAGAGGGCGGGGCCUCCAGGCCGGGCCACGCCCCCGAGGCUACAGCUCUGGGCUGUUCUUAGGCAAGGAUUCCACUACGGUUACUGUCUCGGCAGGCGGUCAGAGCCGUCAGACCUGCCCAGCUCUCAGACUGGAGGGGCUCCUCAGGGCGAGCAGAGGAGGAGAGCACGGAAAAGAAGCGAUGCGGCCCUUCACAGCCCAGGGCUCAGGAUUCCUUCCAGGAUAAAUUCAUGGAUGUUGAAUGAGUUCUGCACUCUGGUGC